GACGAGCGCUGGCGGCAUGCCUAACACAUGCAAGUCGAGCGAGUUGAUCCCUUCGGGGUGAAGCUAGCGGCGGACGGGUGAGUAACACGUGGGCAACCUGCCUCAUAGAGGGGAAUAGCCUUCCGAAAGGAAGAUUAAUACCGCAUAAGAUUGUAGUUUCGCAUGAAGCAGCAAUUAAAGGAGCAAUCCGCUAUGAGAUGGGCCCGCGGCGCAUUAGCUAGUUGGUGAGGUAACGGAGCACCAAGGCGACGAUGCGUAGCCGACCUGAGAGGGUGAUGGGCCACAUUGGGACGGAGACACGGCCCAGACUCCUACGGGAGGCAGCAGUGGGGAAUAUUGCACAAUGGGGGAAACCCUGAUGCAGCAAUGCCGCGUGAGUGAUGACGGCCUUCGGGUUGUAAAGCUCUGUCUUCGGGGACGAUAAUGACGGUACCCGAGGAGGAAGCCACGGCUAACUACGUGCCAGCCGCCGCGGUAA
rnacentral:rRNA from 1 species